rnacentral:rRNA from 1 species
GACGAACGCUGGCGGCGUGCUUAACACAUGCAAGUCGAACGGAAAGGCCCUGCUUUUGUGGGGUGCUGGAGUGGCGAACGGGUGAGUAACACGUGAGUAACCUGCCCUUGACUUUGGGAUAACUUCAGGAAACUGGGGCUAAUACCGGAUAGGAGCUCCUGCUGCAUGGUGGGGGUUGGAAAGUUUCGGCGAUUGGGGAUGGACUCGCGGCUUAUCAGCUUGUUGGUGGGGUAGUGGCUUACCAAGGCUUUGACGGGUAGCCGGCCUGAGAGGGUGACCGGCCACAUUGGGACUGAGAUACGACCCAGACUCCUACGGGAGGCAGCAGUGGGGAAUAUUGCACAAUGGGCGGAAGCCUGAUGCAGCAACGCCGCGUGCGGGAUGACGGCCUUCGGGUUGUAAACCGCUUUCGCCUGUGACGAAGCGUGAGUGACGGUAAUGGGUAAAGAAGCACCGGCUAACUACGUG